UUUCCUCAACUUUGUCCAUGCCAAAGAUC
rnacentral:piRNA from 2 species